GUGAGGAAUAUUGCGCAAUGGAGGCAACUCUGACGCAGCCAUGCCGCGUGCAGGAAGAAGGCGCUACGCGUUGUAAACUGCUUUUAACCGGGAAGAAACCCCAGGACGUGUCCUGGGUUGACGGUACCGGAGGAAUAAGCACCGGCUAACUUCGUGCCAGCAGCCGCGGUAAUACGAAGGGUGCAAGCGUUAUCCGGAUUCAUUGGGUUUAAAGGGUGCGUAGGCGGAGCGUUAAGUCAGUGGUGAAAUCCUGCAGCUUAACUGUAGACUUGCCAUUGAUACUGGCGCUCUUGAGUGCGCUUGAAUGGGGCGGAAUGUGCCGUGUAGCGGUGAAAUGCUUAGAUAUGGCACAGAACACCAAUUGCGAAGGCAGCUCACUAAGGCGAUACUGACGCUGAGGCACGAAAGCGUGGGGAUCGAACAGGAUUAGAAACCCGGGUAGUCC
rnacentral:rRNA from 1 species